AAAUUCUUUCCGUCAAUCCAGAAUGUUACGAGCUGGUCGAUAACAGGGGAUGGAAUUUUCUCCAUUAUGCUAUGGUUAGUUUUCAUGUUGGACAACUAAGAAAUCUUCUUGAAAAUAAUCCGUUAGCGAGGAGUCUUAUAGAUGAGGGGGAUGCCAAGGGAAACACUCCUCUCCAUGUGCUUGCUGCUGUCCGUCCAAAAGAAUUCGAUGUCGAUUUGGUUAGGAAGACUCAAACCAACUAUGACGCUGUCAACAAACAAAAUGUUAGUGUUAGACACAUUUUAGAUUAUGGCUAUCCUGAGCUCAAGGUAAUUAUUUAAUUUGUUCUUUCAACUAAUUAUUAAAUUUUAUUUUUUUACGAUAUUAAUUAAUAUUCAAAUAUAAAUUAAUUACAGAAAGAAAUCCAAAAAUUAUCCAAAGAUGUUGGCAGAGGACAAUAUUCAAAAGGUGUUAGAAGAGUAGUGCAAAAGUGUGUUACUAAAGAAAAUUACAAGGAUACAAGAGCAUCACAUUUGGUAGUGGCUGCACUCAUAGCAACAGUAGCCUUCGCAGCAGCUUUCACCAUUCCUGGCGGUUAUAGAAGCGAAAAUGGAACUGCAAUCCUGAGGAGAAAUAAAGCUUUUCAAUUAUUUAUGGUAGCAGAUUCCAUUGCCAUGGCCUUUUCUCUUUCUGCCGUCGUUACUCACUUCUGGUUGUCUUAUGUAACUGAAGAAACUAAAGAUUUCAAUGAGGAUUUGUUCCACGCUUCCAUUUGGUUCACCUUAUUGUCCAUGGGAGCAAUGGUGAUUGCAUUUGUUACGGGCACAUAUGCAAUGUUAGCCCCUUCUUUAGGCCUUGCUAUUAUCACUUCUUUAAUUGGCCUGAGCUUUUUCUUUCCUGCGAUUUCGCUCAUCAGAAAUAAUCAGAUUGUCUUUUAAAUUAGUAGGACAAAAGUAAUUGAUUGUAGCGAGUCACCAUCUUUGUUUAUCAAUAAAAUGAUUGAUUUUCAUUUAACAUAAACAUUAAUUAAUUUACUCAAUCUUUGUUAAAAAGCAAUCAUUAUUUUAAUUGUGCAUCAAUCACGGAUACUUUAAUGAAAAUUAAAUUUGAGAUUCAGGCCGGUCUGUUUUACUGUCAAUGAUUAGAUUGAAUUGGUGAGAGGAAGUUAAAAUUAAAUUUAAUAUUUUAAAUUGUUUGUACUCUCUUGAUGGAAUAAAAUAUUGAUUAUUUUGUUAAAAAAAAUUUGAGAAAAUUUAUCUCUUUGUAUAAUAUGUCAUGAUAAAUCUUCAAUUAGACAUGAGUAAAGAAAUUUCUAUUAAAAUUUAUCUCUUUGUGCACUUAAGGAAGGGACGUUACUUUGGAGGAAUUAUUGCAACUAUCGAAAACUAACAAAUGAAAUGGUUGAGGCUUCAGAAGCUCAGGCAUAUGAUGGACCAGGUUCUGUUCAGCCCGUCCAAACUUGAAAGUGCUUUUAUGAACUUAGGCUUGAGCCUGGACUUGUCCAAGCUCAGCCCAUUUUCCAUCCCUUUUUGGUCCAACCACUGAACAGAAAGGAAUCCCAACUCCUAAUUAGCCUAAUCAUCUGCCCUCUGCUGAAUUCCAUGGAAACAUGUGUAAACCAAAAACAAAAUCGACUUUGGAUUCCUAAAGAUUGUGCGAAACAAGCACAUGAGCGGCUCCACGGCCCAAAAGGCGAUUUUUGGACCAUGAUAAAGCGGACGAGGUAAAAUGCCAAUACUUACCAUUAUACUUUAGGCAAAGUCUCUUUAUCUCUCGACCUUAUUCGUGAGAUUUGAUAAAUUAAAAUUAUGCUUUAGGUGACGUCUCGAGAUAAUAUUACAACAGUUAUUUUUAAUUGAAAUUAAUUACUCUAAAAUAAACUACCAAAGAUAUGCUUUCAAAUUCAAUGUUCGCAAAUUCAAAUGAAUUAGGUUGUAUGAUAUAUAUAACAAAGGACUCACUUUUGUAAACCAUUUAAUCUAUCACAUGUAACGUCAAUUGUACUUGAUUUGGUUUGCCUUUGCCACCUGCUUAUACAGCUAAAUUUUAAUAGGAUAAUUGAUAACUAAGUUCUUAAUGUUUAUCUAAGAUUAAACUACCUAAAAAAUUUAGCCGAGUGAUUUUUAAAUAAUUUUACUUUAUUAAUUACCCAAAUUCAAAUCCUAUGGUAGGUUGAGGGAGAAAAAAUUGAUUUGGGUUGGUUGAGGUAGAUUCUUUUUAAGAAGCACUAAUUAGAAACAAAAAUUAAUAUAUUUAUGUAGAUGGCAGCUAGAUUUGUCGAUAAAUUCUUUUUGAAAUAUCUUUAAUAAAUUUUAACAAAGUAUUCAAUAUGAGAGAGAUUUGAGAUGAAUUAGAAUGAAACUAAAAAAAAAAAGAGUCUCUUUGACAAUAUAUUAAUAGUGCGUUUAUUAACUAUGAUUCAUAAUAGGCAAGAAUCAUAAUGAAUUGGAAUCAAAAUGUAGAAUAAUAAAUUGUUUACUUCAAUUAUAAGAAUCGAGAUCGAAAUCAACAAAAUUCCAAACUUAGUAUGUUUAUUUUGUUUUAAAACUAGAAUAGAUGAUUGUAAGUUAUCAAAAUGGAGUAAAAAGAAAGUUUUAAUUUUCAAUAAAGAUAAAUAAUUUUUACUCUUUAUUCUCAUUUCUCCAUUCUUCUUCUGCCAUCUAAAUGAAAUUCCUACUCAUUCCCAAAUUUAUGACUCACUCAAAAUUUAUUUAUAUUUUUUAAAAUUUUUAGCAAAUAAAUUUUAUUAAUAUAUAAUUCUCAUUCCUCAUUUUUUUUCUAAAUCCAAAAAUAAACACAUUAAUGACAUUUAUUGCAUCGACAAAACCAUGUGGUUGUCCUAAAAUUGAUCUAAGAACCCACAUCUGCUAACUUUAUUUUGACUUUCAAAAGACACGACUCCACUCUGGCAUUCAACCAAUGGCAAGUGGAUGGUUGCUGGCUGUGAGGAAGCCACUUUGGAUUCGGUGACUAUCACCCUUAUGAGUUAUGACUCUCUAGUCUCUACUAAUUGUGAAUUAGAUUCUCUUGUCACUAGACAUGUGACUUGUAACUGUGAGUAGCAUCAGGAGGCCUAUCUCCCUAGAAAAUAACCAAAACGCAUGAUAAAAGAAAAGAAACAGAUAGGGGGAUUCGUGAAAUACUGAAAAUUACGAUCAUAAUAAAUUUUAAUUAAUAUAUGUACCACAACUGCUAUAAACAAUAACAAAUAAAUUUAGAAUUUUUAUUAUAAAAAGAUUUUUUAUCAUUCUAAUUUUGACUGCUAGAUGAACUUAGUGAUUUUGAUAAAUUAAUGAGAUAUUUCUUUCUCUUUUUUUUUUUUGAAAACCUUUAUACAACUUUCUAUGCUCAUUCAUAUUUUAAAUGAAUAAAUUGUUACAAUUAUAAAUAUAAUUAUUAUUAAUAAAAUAUCACUCCAUUGUUAGUCUAUUGAUCUUUUGUUCAUCAGAAAAUUCCAAAAGAGUGGUUGUAAAUCCCCUAUCUUCAAAAGAUAAAAAAAAAAAAAGGUCCAAAGCAAAAUUAUACUACUUGUCCCAUUCAUAGAAUUAUUGCUUCUAUUUUGUGGAAUUCUUAAAGGUGAAAUUAGGAUCAAAACCAUCCUUCAUAUGGAGAAGUAUUUUGUGGGGAAGGCAGAUCAUUCACAAAGGGCUGAGGUGGAGAAUAGGAGAUGGAAAAAGUGCCCAGAUUUAUCACAGUUGCUGGUUGCCAAACCUUCAACAUUCAAGCCAUUCUCUCCACCAAAGCUCCCUCUGGAAUCCAGAGUAUCAGAGUUAAUUGAUGGGGAAAAUAAGUGGAAAGAGGUAUUAAUUCAGAAGAACUUCAUGAAAGAAGAUGCUCAACAGAUCUUGAAUAUCCCCCUGCCAAGAACCCCCAAACCUGAUAAGCUGCUAUGGCAUUUCAAUAAGCGAGGAGAAUACUUAGUCAAGAGUGGGUAUUAAGUGGCCUUGAAUCUGAAAUUUCCUGAUCAACCAAACAGUUCAGAGAAGAAGCAAAUUCCAUGGAACAUCAUAUGGGCUUCAGAGUUGCCAGCAAAGAUAAAAAUUUUCAUGUAAGAGCAGCAAGAAAUCUUAUGCCAACAGCAGUUAACUUGUGGAGGAAAAAGGUGAUUCAAAGUCCCUCGUGUCAAAGAUGUAGAAGAACUGAAGAGACACCCUAUCAUGCUAUUUUCAAUUAUGCCUAAAAAGUAUGGAGGCUCACAGAAUAUGGAGAGGAGAUCAGUCAGUGUGAAAGCAAAGAUGUGCUGAAUUUAAUGGUGGAAUUGGCAAAAAAGAAGAGCAAAGUUGAUAUGGAGAUGAUAAUGGCAUUAUGUUGGGUUCCUUGGCACUCAAGGAAUUUUCAAAUCCUAAAAAACAAGAAGGAAGACCCCCAAAUAUCAGUAGCAAGAGCAGAAGCAAUAGUCCAAUCCUACAAAAACGUCAAGCAGCCGCAAUCAUACAUGCAAGAGGAGAGAAAUGGACAAAGAAUCAACAAUGGAGACCUCCAGCUCCAGGUUGGUUUAAAGUAAAUGUGGACGCAACUAUAAUGGAUGAUCAAAACAAAGAAGGCUUAGGGGUGGUGGUUAGAAAUUCUGAAGGAAAGUGUACAGCAGUAGCUAUGAAGCCAGCAGAGUUCCAUGAAAGCAUUGCUUUCGCAGAAGCUGAAGCCACAAAGUUUGGUUUAGAAAUUGCAGAGCAAGAUGGUUGUUUGCCCUUGAUUGUUGAAACAGAUUCCCAGGAAGUAGUGGAUUUGGUUUUAAAUAGAAAGGGCACUCGGAAAGAGAUAUUUUGGUUAAUCUCCGAGAUUCAAGCCAUUUUAUUGAUAAUGCAGUAGAGCAAAUUGCAGCAUGUUUUGAGAAGUGGUAACAGUGCAGCCCACUCAUUAGCCAAAUUAGACUUAAAGCAAGAUUCUGUAUUCUCAUGGCUGGAAAACAUUCCAGAAAGUAUUUUGUCUGUAAUCACUGAUUUUGAGAAAUGAAAGAUCCUGUUUCAUAUAAAAAAAAAAAAAAUACUGGUGUAUUAUAUUAUGUUGCAUUGUACUAGCACUGUAUUAUAACAAUGUUGUACAAUGUUUGGUGUUAUUAUAUACUGCAUUGAUUUUUUUGUAAUUAAUUUAAAUUAAAUAUUACAUUAUAUUAAUAUUUUAUAUUAUAUUAACAUAUUUAAAUUGUAUUAAUCUUUUAUAUUAUUAUUAGUUAUAAUAAAUUAUAUAUUUAUUAAUUUAUAUUAAUAAUUAUAAUGUAAAAAUAAAAAUAUUAUAUAAUAUUGUAUUAAAUUAAAAAGUUGUUGUUAUUAUUAUUAUUAUUAUUAUUAAGCAAAAGCAAAAGUAAAAGCAAAAGCAAGAGAGAAAAAAAAAAAGCAAGCUAAUGCGGCAGUUGCUACAUUACCGCACCCCCUUUAACUCAUUCUCAUGUUCUUCCAAACAUAACCUUAGUGUUAAUUUAAUGUGAACAGAAUUUUAAUACCCCAUAAUACAAUGCACCAAACAUAUCCUUAGAUAUUUUUCUGUCUAAUAAAACGUAAAAAUGUCAAUAAUUAGUAUAUGAAUGACACAUUCCAUAUAGUAUCAUUUUAAGAAGUGAUUUAAUAAGUAACAACAAGGCUAAGAGGCAACGUUGAAUCACUUUUCUUUUGUAGUAUUAAUGAACUAUCAAUUGUACUUAUAGAGGAUUCCCCUAUUAUUUUAUUGUUUGCAGUCACUUAAGAGUCACUUGAUUCUUUACCCAACAAACAAAAAGAGCAGAACUGUAUAUGGAAUCCGAUGGAAACGUGAUAAGGAAGGCUGCAGUAUUUAAAGAUUGAGGAUAUGGCUAUGCAGACUUUUUCAAUGUUAAGGACAAAACAAAAGAAGAAACCAUGGUCAACUUUAAUAAUUAAUUGGUAUAUAUAUGUUUUUGUCUGAGUUCUUAAAAAUAUUGCGCCACAGUUUAAUUAAUUUAUUAAUUAAACAUACAAGCAACCACAGUUGAGAAAUUGAAUAGUUUGCCAACGAGAAUGACUAAUCUCAAUUUAUUUAUUUAUUUAACUAAGAGAGCAUGAGGAAGAAAUCAAGGUGAAAAAUGUUGAUUCUUGGCUUUUUUCCUUUCAUUUUUCCCUCCACAAUGCUCUCUUCUCUAUGCAUCUGCUUCAUCUCUGUUUCACCUGCUAUCUUGCUGCAAUCGAUCUUCUGCAAUCUCUCUCCAUUUAAUGCUCCCACAACCACUUCUUCCACCUGGUUACCUCUCAUUGGAUUUGAGCAAAUCCCCAUAUUAAUUUGGCUUGGCCCGGAACCAGAUGGGCCCGACCCGUAUUGUUUCGGUGUCGUUACCCUGUCAAAAAGCUAGAAUUUAAAACGUGUGAAAAAUACUACACUUUUCAAGUCAUAUAUACAUACAUAUCAGGUUUAGAAGAAGAUCUAUGAGUACCUCCGAGAUACUGGGUACCCUUAUCUAAUAGAUCAACUUCGCCAACAUGAAUCCUGUUUCCAUUGAGAUUGAGGAAGCUCCAUUAUUGGACAGCAAUGGUGAAAUUAAGCAGCAAAUGGACCCAAAUUUUUUCAAAGCUGCAGCUGCGGGCAAUUCGGAACCGUUCAAAGAUAUGGCAGGAGAGGUAAUUGAGAGCUUGUUAACAGCAAAGACCAAAAACACAAUCCUGCAUAUCAACAUCAAAUUCGAAGAAAGAGAAAACGUGUCAACGAAGUUCGUAGAAGAAAUACUUGAGAAAUGCCCAUCGCUGCUACUACAAGUUAAUGCCAAAGGCGAUACUCCACUUCACGUUGCGGCAAAGUUCGGCCAUUCUGAUAUAGUGAGGGUUCUUGUCGAAAGAGCAAAAUUACCUAAACAUGAAAAUGAAGAGCUAGAGAGCAGGGUAGGAGCUACCAGGCAGAUGAUUAGGAUGACAAAUAAUGAGAAGAAUACAGCACUCCACGAGGCAGUGUGUCACCAAAACGUCGAUGUGGUGGAAAUACUGACGAAAGAAGACCCUGAUUAUCCAUAUUCUGCAAAUAAUUACGGCAAAACGCCACUCUACAUGGCUGCUGAGUCUCGGUCUUCUAAUAUGGUGCUUGCCUUAUUGGAAAACAGGACAUCAGUGUCUCAUGAAGGCCCCAACGGAAAGACGGCUUUACAUGCUGCAGCAAUGAGAUCUUAUGCCGGUAAGUUUAAUUAUACCCUUUCAGUAGGAAUUUCAAUAUUGAUAUCUUUCUAUUAAUAGAUUCUUUCCAUAAUGUUCAAGUAAAUACACCCUUUUAAUUCAUUAAUAAAUUAUUAAUUGCCAUAAAUUUAAUCAGGAUAAAUUGUCAGAUAUAAAUUAGUAUUUUAAAAUAUUAUAAUAUCCCACAUUGAGGAGAAGUAAGAGCAGUUGAAUUUAUUUUCAAUUAAUUGUUUGGUUGAAUUGCUUACAAAUUAGAAGUGAAUAAUGCAAUUAUAUUUAUGAUUGAAUCAAAUUGUGAGACUCAUACUGACUAAUUUAAAUUAAAUAAAAAAAAAGUAGAUGACGAGUUCAAAUUUGAGUUAGGAAAAAGUUAUAUAGUUUUGAUACAUGUGAAGCCUUUAAGGUGGGUUUGAUAGUUCUAUUGUUUUAAAUAAUGUUCUUUACUGCUAUCUCAUCUUUCUUCACCAAUUUAUUUUCUUUUACUAUUUUAAAUUGUUAUCCUUGAGUGCAUGGAACGACCUACCCCGAAUUUUAAAGGUGAAUCUAACUACGGUUCACAUAUAAAUUUAGAUAUCUUUUUACAAUGGAUAACUCAAUUUCUGACCAUCAAUCUAACUAUGGCUCACAUAUAAACUUCAACGGCUGAUCGGCGACAAAUCGGCCACUGUUUGAUGGCCAGAAAUUGAAGUGACUGCCAUCAAGGACAAAUCCCAGGUGACGACAUGGCCGAAAUCCGGUGAAAACUCGCCGAUUUGAGUCGUCCCGUGACUUAACACGGGUUCGUGGGGUGGUCAUUGGCCGUUUUCCGGCAACAAUGAUGAUGGGGGAAUGACCGGCGUCGUCUAGGAGUUCGGUCGAUACCCUCCAUCGCCGGAGAUGUGGUCGGAAUCAGAAGCAGCGAUUCAGGCUUCGUUAACGGGUUGACCCAAGCCAUUUCCUUUCUCUUCUAACCCGAUCGUGCACCUUCUCUCCCUCACAACUCACUUAAUCCAAUUAAUGACUCAAGUACCCUUAUGAGAAUUAAUUUUCUGAUUAAUGAUAAAAAUAACCUUAAUUUAUAAGGAAGUUAAGCAUUGUUCUGAAGGAAUUAAUUUUUCUACUGUGAAAUCUUCCAAAAAAAAACUAGUCUUUAGAAUUGUAAAUGUACUGAAAAUUGGUCUUUUGGAUAACUAAGAUAGGGAAAGUUGGUUUUAGGAUAAUUAGAUUUAACAAAUUGGUCUUUACAAUAGUGCUUCAAACGUGUCUUAGUGAAUUCUUCAAAAAUUGUUAUUUCUAGAUGCAAACUCAGGGAAAUGAUUGCAAGUUUUUAUUUUGUUAAAUAACAAAGUUACCGAUCUGAAGCCAUUAUUCAUCACUCAUCGUGUGAUUGGUGUUGGCGUUGUUGUUCUAGACCUCUGGCUGAUUUGGAAUUUAAAAAAAAAAAACUAUUUUUUUUCCUCAUAUCUCCAACAUAAAUAGCCCCUCAAAUUUAUGCCGUUUCUGAAUAUUUACUUUUAUUAAAAAUUUUCAUUAUUAUUUGAUUUAUCUUCUGUAUUCUUAGUUGAUGCUGCAUUAUCAAAAUUACUUGAGAUAAAGAAGAAUCUGAUCAAAGAAACAGACCAAUACGGGUGGACUCCAAUUCAUUACGCUGCAUAUUAUGGAAAUUACGGGACGGUAAAUUUGCUAUUAGAAACUGAUCAAUCCGCUUCGAACAUUGCUGACAAAGAUCGAAAGAUGACAGCUCUUCAUUUGGCAGCGGGCAAAGGGGAUGCCCGAAUAGUUGAAGCAAUUAUUUCCAAAAAUCCAGAAUGUUACGAGCUGGUCGAUAACAGGGGAUGGAAUUUUCUCCAUUAUGCUGUUGUUAGUUUUCGUGUUGAAAAACUGACAAAUCUUCUUGAAAAUAAUCCGUUAGCGAGGAGUCUUAUUAAUGAGGGGGAUGCCAAGGGAAACACUCCUCUCCAUGUGCUUGCCGCAAUCCGACCAAAUGAAUUCGAUGUCGAUUUGGU
rnacentral:lncRNA from 1 species